rnacentral:lncRNA from 1 species
UAAUUUCCUACGAAAAUUCCAAGUCUGAUUUCAAAAAUUUCAAGUCGGAAAUACCUUAGUUCUCUCGAAGAUGCAGUUUUGUCCCUUCUCAGUUUUGCGUGCUCAUUUCCGUUUCCUAUUCUCGUGUAUGUUCGCCAUUUCCGAUAUUGGUGUUUAUCCUUUGAAACUUGACAUUUAUCUUCCGAACUUGACUGUUAUCUUCUCCUAGAUAAGACGUCGAUUUUUGUAAAAAGGUUCAACGUAAUCGUAUAGUUAAGGCGGCUAAGGUGUUAAGUUAACCGUUGCCGUUUUAUACGAUUAAUCUGAAUCCAUGCGAGAAAAUAGGUCUUUGCGGUUUUUUUUUUUUUAUAUCAUAAAGUCUCAAUGGUAACUUCAAUCGAGGCGAAACAAGAGACGUUUCGAUCGAGAUUCGAAAGUGAACGCAAAGAUGGAGGUAGGGUGAGCAGAAACAAGCCAAGGAGUUUAAGAUGAGUUUUACUUGUUUUU